UUCAAAAGAAAAGGAGUUACAACAGUUCGGCAGACGGGAAUUAGAAGAUACUUAGUCUACCAUCACAAUAUAUUCGACGAUAAGAGUAUAUCUGAAUUGCAUUACACUCCUAUAAAAAAAAAAUAUGGCAAACCGGGAUGAAUCUUCACCUAACGAAAAAUGCUGUUGUCGAAAAUGCUGUCAAAAAUGUUGUUCAACUUGCACUAUAUUAAGAACAGACACACUGUAUGUAGAACCAAUUUCCAGGCUCCGACCAUCCGAUGGAACCCUGUCAGAGAAGUGCACAUUAAUAGCUUUUGAUGAGUCCGGCUCUCCUACACAAAAUUAUCUGACCAGCUAGAAUUCCUUCUAUGCUUCUCUGUGGUUUUACUGCUGUUCUUAUCGAAACAGAAAACAACACUUCAGAGAAGAAAUGCAUAUAUAGAGCGAUCAUGUUUAUAUACUUCUGUUCUAUAGUAAAAUCCAUAUAUUAUGUUCUGUUUUACCCUGUUUUCUGAUUUUUAUCAAUAUACUGUUUGUUUAUAGGCAAUCUCAUGCAGUCAACAUACUGUGGGAAGUCCCUUAUCUUAUUUCUCAUUACAAACUGUUUUGAAGGUUUUAAUAAUAUUAAAAUAAUGAUAAUUAUCAUUUGAUGAUAAUAUUAUUUGAACUCCUAACCAAUGUCUUAUAUAUUCCCUAAUAUUUGUGAAUACUGAUAUUAUUCAUGGUUCUGUGCAUUGGUCAGAAAUUGUAUUUACUGAAGACUUAGCAAUAGGAAGAAAUAGUCUAUUCUUUACUAUGGUCUAAGAGCCUCUGAAGACCUUGUAUUAUUAUCUAAGCAAAGGUGGUAACUUGGCCUUUGUUUAACAAAAAAAAAUUGUUCAUCAGCAACACAUGUUGUCUCCUACAUUAAAUUUACCUUUUCUGGUUGGUCAGAAUUUAUAUUUUGUUUUAACUUUUGAGUUUUGGUAUUGUCCCCAUCAUGAAUUAUAUUCAUACUUGACAAUUUUCGAAUAAAGAACGAAACGUAAAAUCAA